rnacentral:rRNA from 1 species
GAUGAACGCUGGCGGCGUGCUUAACACAUGCAAGUCGAACGAUGAAGCCCAGCUUGCUGGGUGGAUUAGUGGCGAACGGGUGAGUAGCACGUGAGUAACCUGCCCUUAACUCUGGGAUAAGCCUGGGAAACUGGGUCUAAUACCGGAUAGGAGCGUCCACCGCAUGGUGGGUGUUGGAAAGAUUUAUCGGUUUUGGAUGGACUCGCGGCCUAUCAGCUUGUUGGUGGGGUAAUGGCUCACCAAGGCGACGACGGGUAGCCGGCCUGAGAGGGUGACCGGCCACACUGGGACUGAGACACGGCCCAGACUCCUACGGGAGGCAGCAGUGGGGAAUAUUGCACAAUGGGCGCAAGCCUGAUGCAGCGACGCCGCGUGAGGGAUGACGGCCUUCGGGUUGUAAACCUCUUUCAGUAGGGAAGAAGCGAAAGUGACGGUACCUGCAGAAGAAGCACCGGCUAACUACGUG